rnacentral:rRNA from 1 species
GACGAACGCUGGCGGCGUGCUUAACACAUGCAAGUCGAACGGUAAGGCCCUUCGGGGUACACGAGUGGCGAACGGGUGAGUAACACGUGGGUGAUCUGCCCUGCACUUCGGGAUAAGCCUGGGAAACUGGGUCUAAUACCGGAUAGGACCACUGCCUGCAUGGGUGGUGGAAAGCUUUAGCGGUGUGGGAUGGGCCCGCGGCCUAUCAGCUUGUUGGUGGGGUGAUGGCCUACCAAGGCGACGACGGGUAGCCGGCCUGAGAGGGUGACCGGCCACACUGGGACUGAGAUACGGCCCAGACUCCUACGGGAGGCAGCAGUGGGGAAUAUUGCACAAUGGGCGCAAGCCUGAUGCAGCGACGCCGCGUGAGGGAUGACGGCCUUCGGGUUGUAAACCUCUUUCAGCACCGACGAAGCGCAAGUGACGGUAGGUGCAGAAGAAGGACCGGCCAACUACGUGCCAGCCGCCGCGGUAA